rnacentral:lncRNA from 1 species
AUGGAAAAGUAUUGUUCCUGGGGUGUUUUAUUGUACCAUUUUUGGCUUUUUUUUAUGUUCACCAUUUGUAAUUCUUCUAUUCUUUCUCUCUCAAUUACUAUUGACGUUCAGGAUGACUGUCAGCUGAUGGCUUUUUAUAAGCUGUUCUGCAAGCUGAACACAAAUAACAUGACAGCUUGCAGGCUACUUGUUGUCAUGGUGUUCUUACUUUGCUCUGGGCAAUGCCAUAUAAAGAAUAUUACAUCUCGACUCCUAUUUGCAUCAACCAAAUAUUUUAACAUUAACAUGAUAAUAUCAGAAUGCCAGGAUGUUUAUGACAUUGCCAGCACCAAGAAAAACAGAAUAAAAUUCUGUUCUGUUUCCACCUACACAUUUUCACCCACUCCCAGGUUCUGUACUACUGUGGUUACAGGAUUGUUGAUUUCUGUGGAGAAAUUCCUUCCCCUGCUCAGGGAAUCCCAGAAGUGAAGCAUCAGUCCCUGGUGUGGCAAUACAGCACUGGACAGCACGUGAUGAUAAGGAAUUCAGACCAUUGUUUAUGGGGGAUCCUCUGAGACAUCUCUAUAAAAACUCUGGCUGGUAAGGAUGGGCAGUCAAACACAACUGUGGAAACCCAGGAAAUCCCUCUGGCUGCCCUGGAUGGCUCCAGCCCCUGCCCAGGAGGCUCAGAGACCCUGGCACAGAGCCCAAGACCCCUGUGCCUUUGAUUCAGCCCUUGCAAAAAACAAUGACCAACCUUGUAUGAAUAAUUACAAGCCACGAAAGUUAAAGUAGAAUGAUAGUGAAUUUAUCAUGGGGUGAAACAUAGAUUUUUGGGUUUUUUAGAAUAGGGGGGUUCAGGGGGCAAGAUGGAGGGAACAGGGCAUGCCCAGCCUUUCUCCUUCUUCUUCUUGACCUCCAUCUUCUG